GUUUGUCGCGUCGUCUGUGAAAUUCCGGGGCUUAACUCCGGGCGUGCAGGCGAUACGGGCAAACUUGAGUACUGUAGGGGUAACUGGAAUUCCUGGUGUAGCGGUGAAAUGCGCAGAUAUCAGGAGGAACACCGAUGGCGAAGGCAGGUUACUGGGCAGUUACUGACGCUGAGGAGCGAAAGCAUGGGUAGCGAACAGGAUUAGAUACCCUGGUAGUCCAUGCCGUAAACGGUGGGCGCUAGGUGUGAGGGUCUUUCACGACUUUCGUGCCGUAGCUAACGCAUUAAGCGCCCCGCCUGGGGAGUACGGCCGCAAGGCUAAAACUCAAGGGAAUUGACGGGGGCCCGCACAAGCGGCGGAGCAUGUGGAUUAAUUCGAUGCAACGCGAAGAACCUUACCUGGGCUUGACAUACACCGGAUCGGGCUAGAGAUGUCUUUCCCUUUGGGCUGGUGUACAGGUGGUGCAUGGUUGUCGUCAGCUCGUGUCGUGAGAUGUUGGGUUAAGUCCCGCAACGAGCGCAACCCUUGUCUUAUGUUGCCAGCAUUUGGUUGGGGACUCAUGAGAGACUGCCGGGGUCAACUCGGAGGAAGGUGGGGAUGACGUCAAAUCAUCAUGCCCCUUAUGUCCAGGGCUUCACACAUGCUACAAUGGUCGGUACAACGCGCAGCGACACUGUGAGGUGGAGCGAAUCGCUGAAAGCCGGCCUUAGUUCGGAUUGGGGUCUGCAACUCGACCCCAUGAAGUCGGAGUCGCUAGUAAUCG
rnacentral:rRNA from 1 species